rnacentral:rRNA from 1 species
AUGUACUAUUUCAAAAAGGAAAUUCAAAAGAACAUUUGUGAGAAGCAGCCAGCGUUUUUCUUUAGCAGUAAUAUCUUGGUUAACUCCAUCGAUAUGUUGUAUGUUUUAUCUCCUGUUACUGGAAUUGUCAUCAGGAAAUCAGCAUCUGUUCUCAGUAGCUUUCUCAUUGUUGGUCAUACUUUGCAGGCAUUGUUCAUCCUUCUGCCAGCAGCAAAGGAGAAGGAAGGAUUACAGGUUUGCCAAGUGCCACAUUUCAAAAAUUCAAUUCGACAAGGAAUGAAGAAGGAUCACAUCAAUAGUCACAACAUCGCAGAAGAUUAA